rnacentral:lncRNA from 1 species
CUAGGCUUAAAAGAUUCAUCUUGUCAAUUUCGACCAAACUGUGCAAUUAGUUUUUAUUUUCGUCUAUAUUUAAUACUCCAUGCAUGGGUCUAAAUAUUCGAUAUGAUGAAAAAUCUGAAAAAUUUUGUAAAAUUUUUUAAGAACUAAACAAAGCCUUAGCAGUAGCUAGCAGCCCAGGACCCCGGAACAACCGUAUCAGCAUGAGUCCGUCGGUCCGUGUCAUCUCAUCUCAGGUUGCCUGCAGCCUGAACCUGUGCCGCGUCACUUGCAUUGCAGGCUACAGCGCCUCGGCAGCUCGCUGUUCGAGAUCGAUUUUUUUUUGAAAGGCGGCAAAAGGAUUUUGCCGGAUUUUAAUUAGAUGAGGAAAAAACAAAAAAAAAAUACAACAUGAUCAAGCAAAAACAAGACGAAAAGACUGUUCGAGAUCGAUACAGAAGGGAUUAUCCAUGUAUCGGUAGGCAUCAGUUCAACUCGAGAUUCUUGCUUUGUCUGCAGACCUGCACAAGUGAGGAAACCAUAUUCGGCGUCUGGUGCAUGAUGUUUGUUGUAUCCCCUUUGAUCGGCUGCUUAACUCCUCAACAACAGUUCCUCUCGUGCUGGAACAAUGAACACAUAUGCAUGCACUUGGACAGUUGGGGAGGGCUGCUUCCUUGUGCUUGAAUUUGCUCGUCGGCGUACUACUCGUCUACUCCAAGUUGUUCCAAGACCGGCCGCAGUAUAUAUAAAUUCCGCGGCUAAUGCAUGCCGGUCUAAUUCCGGUCCAAGGGGCUUGAAUGCUAAAUGAACCAAUAUGAAGAACAAAACAUG